UUAUAUCAUUAAUCACAACAUUCCUCACAAUCAGUCCUGAUAUACUAAUUAAUCCAUAUUUUAUGUUUGCAUUCAUUCUUCUUUUUAGGUUUGUGAGAAAGAGGUGCCAAUUGGAGGGGUAGUGUUUUAGCAUGUGUUUAGUUGUGCUCUUUUAAAUAGACUCCUUUCUUGUGUUGUGUACUUCUCUCUCUUACAUCUGUUGCUUGUGCUGGGUGGCAGUUAGAAUCUGGUUUAACAUAUUUGGUAUUUUGUAUAGCAGCAGCUUUUUAAAUCUCAAGUUGUGCAUGCCAACAAUCGAGGUAGGGGGUUUUGGGUGUUGCAAAAAGUUUAAAAGUGUGCCUUGUCCAUUGAUCUAAACAGAAUACUGUAUGUCGUUCAUUGCCAAAAAAAAUCAUGAUGUUCAGAGUUUAGUUUCUCAGUUUAUUUAUUGAAUGGUUGCUAGCAGUUGCAAGCUCAUUCUAUGUAUGGUACUUGAGUUUGCUAGCAUCAGAUUCAGCUGGAAAGAGGCAUUUCUUUGUGUGUGUGUGUGUGUGUUGUCUGGUUUUGUGAAAGCAGCAACCUAAUGCUAUUUGUGUUAAAUAUCGCCAAAAUAGCCUUAGUGUUCUCCACAAAUUCCUCCAGUUUCUUCCUUGAGCUUUUCUGGCUUCCACCUAUUUUGACAUGUAGGUGAUUUUUUUAAAGCUCAGGUUGCCCACCUUUUAUUACCAUUGUGUUUGCUGCUAUUUUAAUAUUGGCAGAACAAUAAUAGGCCAAUAGCCAGUUGGUAAGUUGAGAAAAGUGUGCCAGGUAAUCAGACAUUUCUCUGAAUUCUGAAUAUACACAAUGGAAAGAGACGAUAUGUAAAUUGACUAAAAUAAUCUAUGAUUGGGGACCCAGUUAUGAACUACUAAUAACAUAUUUUGCACAAAAGAAAAACAGACAGUAGCCAAGUGUUUCCCACUAACCGUCAGGACUGUUUCUCUAAGACUUAAAUUAUGUUACUUCCAUUGCAUUUGGUUUGCUACUUCCAGAAGAAAUACUUCAUGUGAUUUUAUAGUAACAGUAAUAUGCUCAUGCAUUGCAAUGGGACCAUAUGAUUGGGGAUGGGUUUCAUAGGCCCAUACAACUGGGAUGGAGACUUGGAGAGUGGAUAGGAAACUUUUGUCUGGUUUUUUCUCCAGGGGAGGCGCGAUUCGUGCAAUGUGGGAAAGUGGGAGGAGGACGGCCUUUUUAAGUAGUUAAGAUUUAUAGCAUUCUCUUUCUUCUUCUUUUUUCCUUUUUUUUUUUGUAAACCAUGGUGUUUUCUCCUUUUUGUGUCUAUAGAGAUAAGUUUGUUCACUACCAUGGACUCGAAGUGUGCCCUACCUAAUCAAAACCGAUCAUUUGCUCCCCUUUUUUGCGGGAACUUCAGGCAUUUUUGUCGCCCAAGUGGGCUCAUGUAUGACCCACGAUGCUGAAGCCUGAAUUUGCGAUUCUGGUAUUCAGAGCUGACCAGACCAAUCCGGCAACAGCUUUCCACCUUGCUGAAAUUCCAAACCAGAUUAGUGAUAGGAAGAUGCUUUGUUUUGUGCCACAACAGAUUUCUCUUAAAGUUUGAUAUUGUAGGGGCACCGCCUGGAUUGAUUUGAGCACAUGCAAGUGUGUGGAAGGAGCACGCCUUAGUUUAUAUGGAUAGCUGUUGAUCUUGGUGUUCCUGAAUUGUAUGCUGACAUUGUUCUGUUGUUACAGUUGUUGACAGGACUUGUGAAUUGUCAAAUAUUCAUGGUUCGUGAAAUCUUUUCAAGGCAUAGUACAUCAAAGCAUCGAGCAGGAACUAGAACUGAGGGUGUGUGCUGAUCUGCAGACCAAGUUUUGAUCACCAGGUCAAAGUCGAUGGCCGAACCUUGUUUCAAAACAGCCAAUGGGCGAACAGAAAAAUGGCAGUAUCUGGCGCCCACGUUUCUUUCCUACCGUUUCGGAUGCGUGGAGCUAAAGCGAAGCUAGCGUGGUGGCAACUGUAGCACUGGACCGCUUCGUGGUAAUUUUUUUGGCCAUCACCUAGUUGCCACUUGAAGGAGUUUAUCACGAGGCAGGACUCAGGAGACAUGAGAGGAUGGGGGGGCGUAACUGAACAUCGGCGCAAACCCUGUACACGUGUGCAAAGCAAGUCCUUCAAGACGGUUCGUUGCACGGGGAAAUAUCUUCCCUACAAGAAGUGAUGUACGGUUCGUUGUGUGGCAUUCACGGUAAGUAAAGAAGAAUGUCUGGAAAAAAUCAGAAAAUGACAUGAUAUGAUCACAGUACACACUCCAAAAAAAAAUCACGAUAAAAAGGGCGUUUUGUUCACACUGGAGUCUAGGGUACUUUUAGAACAUUUGCCUGGCAUCAUUUUUCCUAAACGAUUGAUCCUCCGUUUGAA